rnacentral:rRNA from 1 species
AUUGAACGCUGGCGGCAUGCCUUACACAUGCAAGUCGAACGGCAGCACGGGAGCAAUCCUGGUGGCGAGUGGCGAACGGGUGAGUAAUAUAUCGGAACGUGCCCAGUCGUGGGGAUAACGUAGCGGAAGCUACGCUAAUACCGCAUACGAUCUAUGGAUGAAAGCGGGGGAUCGCAAGACCUCGCGCGAUUGGAGCGGCCGAUAUCAGAUUAGGUAGUUGGUGAGGUAAAGGCUCACCAAGCCGACGAUCUGUAGCUGGUCUGAGAGGACGACCAGCCACACUGGGACUGAGACACGGCCCAGACUCCUACGAGAGGCAGCAGUGGGGAAUUUUGGACAAUGGGCGCAAGCCUGAUCAGCAAUGCCGCGUGCAGGAUGAAGGCCU